CUGGUAGAGGAGCAUUGCAUGCGGGAAGAAGCAGUACCGUAAGGAGCUGUGGACUGCAUGGAAGAGAGAAUGCCGGAAUGAGUAGCGAGAAUAAGGUGAGAAUCCUUAUGGCCGAAUAUCCAAGGUUUCCAGAGUAAAGCUGAUCUGCUCUGGGUAAGUCGGGGCCUAAGGCGAGGACGAGAGUCGUAGCCGAUGGACAACAGGUGGAGAUUCCUGUACUGCGGUAUGACAGAACUGUGGGGACACGUAAGGAAAGCCGAAGCCGGGAAUGGAAAGCCCGGUGCAAGCGGGGUACCAGCCACUUUGGCAAAUCCGGGUGGCAAUGGGAAGCCGUGAUGCGGAGCGAAAUAAAGUAGCGAAGUCCGUGAGCCAUGCGUCAAGAAAAGCCGCUAUUGUUUAUACCGUACCCGUACCGUAAACCGACACAGGUGGAUGAGGAGAGAAUCCUAAGGCCGGCGGAAGAAGCAUUGUCAAGGAACUCGGCAAAAUGGCCCCGUAACUUAGGGAUAAGGGGUGCCUGGGAAACCAGGCCGCAGAGAAUAGGCUCAAGCAACUGUUUAGCAAAAACACAGGUCUAUGCGAAACCGAAAGGUGAGGUAUAUGGGCUGACGCCUGCCCGGUGCUGGAAGGUUAAGAGGAGAGAUUAGCGGUAACGCGAAGCUUUGAAUUUAAGCCCCAGUAAACGGCGGCCGUAACUAUAACGGUCCUAAGGUAGCGAAAUUCCUUGUCGGGUAAGUUCCGACCCGCACGAAAGGCGUAAUGAUUUGAGCGCUGUCUCGACAAUGCAUCCGGUGAAAUUGGAGUACCAGUGAAGAUGCUGGUUACCUGCGCCAGGACGGAAAGACCCCAUGGAGCUUUACUCCAGUCUGGUACUGGGACUCGGUAUUGCAUGUACAGGAUAGGUGGGAGGCUAGGAGAUGGUAACGCCAGUUGCCAUGGAGCCGCUGUUGGGAUACCACCCUUGCAGUAUUGGGUUUCUAACCAGCCGCCGUGACCCGGCGGUGGGACAAUGCCAGACGGGGAGUUUGACUGGGGCGGUCGCCUCCGAAAGGGUAUCGGAGGCGCCCAAAGGUUCCCUCAGAAUGGACGGAAACCAUUCGAAGAGUGCAAAGGCAGAAGGGAGCUUGACUGCGACACCGACGGGUGGAGCAGGUACGAAAGUAGGGCUUAGUGAUCCGGUGGUAUUAAGUGGGAAUGCCAUCGCUCAACGGAUAAAAGCUACCCUGGAUAACAGGCUUAUCACUCCCAAGAGUUCACAUCGACGGAGUGGUUUGGCACCUCGAUGUCGGCUCAUCGCAUCCUGGGGCUGUAGUAGGUCCCAAGGGUUGGGCUGUUCGCCCAUUAAAGCGGUACGCGAGCUGGGUUCAGAACGUCGUGAGACAGUUCGGUCCCUAUCCGGCGUGGGCGUAGGAUAUCUGAGAGGAGCUGUCCUUAGUACGAGAGGACCGGGAUGGACGGGCCGCUGGUGCAUCGGUUAGACUGCCAAGUCUACGGCCGAGUAGCCAAGCCCGGAAGGGAUAAACGCUGAAGGCAUCUAAGCGUGAAGCCCCCCUUAAGAUGAGAUAUCCCAUUCGAAAGAAGUAAACCCCCUUGAAGACGACGAGGUAGAUAGGGCAGAGGUGGAAGUGCAGCAAUGCAUGGAGCUGACUGUUACUAAUCGGGUGAGGGCUUGACC
rnacentral:rRNA from 1 species